CCCUUAGAUGUUCUGGGCCGCACGCGCGCUACACUGACGAAUGCAACGAGCUUAUAACCUUGGCCGAAAGGUCUGGGUAAUCUCCAAAUUUUGUCGUGAUGGGGAUAGAUUAUUGCAAUUAUUAAUCUUCAACGAGGAAUGCCUAGUAAGCGCAAGUCAUCAGCUUGCGUUGAUUACGUCCCUGCCCUUUGUACACACCGCCCGUCGCUCCUACCGAUUGAAUGGUCCGGUGAAGCGUUCGGACCGUGGCCUUUGGACGGUUCGCCGUCUGUUGGCUGCGGGAAGUUCGUUAAACCUUAUCAUUUAGAGGAAGGAGAAGUCGUAACA
rnacentral:rRNA from 1 species